rnacentral:rRNA from 1 species
AUGAACGCUAGCUACAGGCUUAACACAUGCAAGUCGAGGGGCAUCAGGAAGAAAGCUUGCUUUCUUUGCUGGCGACCGGCGCACGGGUGAGUAACACGUAUCCAACCUGCCCUUUACUCGGGGAUAGCCUUUCGAAAGAAAGAUUAAUACCCGAUGGCAUAAUGAUUCCGCAUGGUUUCAUUAUUAAAGGAUUCCGGUAAAGGAUGGGGAUGCGUUCCAUUAGGUUGUUGGUGAGGUAACGGCUCACCAAGCCUUCGAUGGAUAGGGGUUCUGAGAGGAAGGUCCCCCACAUUGGAACUGAGACACGGUCCAAACUCCUACGGGAGGCAGCAGUGAGGAAUAUUGGUCAAUGGGCGCUAGCCUGAACCAGCCAAGUAGCGUGAAGGAUGAAGGCUCUAUGGGUCGUAAACUUCUUUUAUAUAAGAAUAAAGUGCAGUAUGUAUACUGUUUUGUAUGUAUUAUAUGAAUAAGGAUCGGCUAACUCCGUGCCAGCAGCCGCGGUAAUACGGAGGAUCCGAGCGUUAUCCGGAUUUAUUGGGUUUAAAGGGAGCGUAGGUGGACUGGUAAGUCAGUUGUGAAAGUUUGCGGCUCAACCGUAAAAUUGCAGUUGAUACUGUCAGUCUUGAGUACAGUAGAGGUGGGCGGAAUUCGUGGUGUAGCGGUGAAAUGCUUAGAUAUCACGAAGAACUCCGAUUGCGAAGGCAGCUCACUGGACUGCAACUGACACUGAUGCUCGAAAGUGUGGGUAUCAAACAGGAUUAGAUACCCUGGUAGUCCACACAGUAAACGAUGAAUACUCGCUGUUUGCGAUAUACAGUAAGCGGCCAAGCGAAAGCAUUAAGUAUUCCACCUGGGGAGUACGCCGGCAACGGUGAAACUCAAAGGAAUUGACGGGGGCCCGCACAAGCGGAGGAACAUGUGGUUUAAUUCGAUGAUACGCGAGGAACCUUACCCGGGCUUAAAUUGCAGUGGAAUGAUGUGGAAACAUGUCAGUGAGCAAUCACCGCUGUGAAGGUGCUGCAUGGUUGUCGUCAGCUCGUGCCGUGAGGUGUCGGCUUAAGUGCCAUAACGAGCGCAACCCUUAUCUUUAGUUACUAACAGGUCAUGCUGAGGACUCUAGAGAGACUGCCGUCGUAAGUUGUGAGGAAGGUGGGGAUGACGUCAAAUCAGCACGGCCCUUACGUCCGGGGCUACACACGUGUUACAAUGGGGGGUACAGAAGGCAGCUAGCGGGUGACCGUAUGCUAAUCCCAAAAUCCUCUCUCAGUUCGGAUCGAAGUCUGCAACCCGACUUCGUGAAGCUGGAUUCGCUAGUAAUCGCGCAUCAGCCACGGCGCGGUGAAUACGUUCCCGGGCCUUGUACACACCGCCCGUCAAGCCAUGGGAGCCGGGGGUACCUGAAGUACGUAACCGCAAGGAUCGUCCUAGGGUAAAACUGGUGACUGGGGCU